AUUGAACGCUGGCGGCAGGCUUAACACAUGCAAGUCGAGCGGGGUGAUGGUGCUUGCACUAUCACUUAGCGGCGGACGGGUGAGUAAUGCUUAGGAAUCUGCCUAUUAGUGGGGGACAACAUCCCGAAAGGGAUGCUAAUACCGCAUACGUCCUACGGGAGAAAGCAGGGGAUCACUUGUGACCUUGCGCUAAUAGAUGAGACUAAGUCGGAUUAGCUAGUUGGUGGGGUAAAGGCCUACCAAGGCGACGAUCUGUAGCGGGUCUGAGAGGAUGAUCCGCCACACUGGGACUGAGACACGGCCCAGACUCCUACGGGAGGCAGCAGUGGGGAAUAUUGGACAAUGGGGGGAACCCUGAUCCAGCCAUGCCGCGUGUGUGAAGAAGGCCUUAUGGUUGUAAAGCACUUUAAGCGAGGAGGAGGCUCUUUUGGUUAAUACCCAAGAUGAGUGGACGUUGCUCGCAGAAUAAGCACCGGCUAACUCUGUGCCAGCAGCCGCCGUAA
rnacentral:rRNA from 1 species